rnacentral:rRNA from 1 species
GUAGCUGGUCUGAGAGGAUGACCAGCCACACUGGAACUGAGACACGGUCCAGACUCCUACGGGAGGCAGCAGUGGGGAAUAUUGGACAAUGGGGGCAACCCUGAUCCAGCAAUGCCGCGUGUGUGAAGAAGGCCUGAGGGUUGUAAAGCACUUUCAGUGGGGAGGAGGGUUGAUAGGUUAAGAGCUAAUUAACUGGACGUUACCCACAGAAGAAGCACCGGCUAACUCCGUGCCAGCAGCCGCGGUAAUACGGAGGGUGCAAGCGUUAAUCGGAAUUACUGGGCGUAAAGGGUGCGUAGGUGGUUGAUUAAGUUAUCUGUGAAAUUCCUGGGCUUAACCUGGGACGGUCAGAUAAUACUGGUUGACUCGAGUAUGG